UACGAAGGGGGCUAGCGUUGCUCGGAAUCACUGGGCGUAAAGGGUGCGUAGGCGGGUCUUUAAGUCAGGGGGGAAAUCCUGGAGCUCAACUCCAGAACUGCCUUUGAUACUGAAGAUCUUGAGUUCGGGAGAGGUGAGUGGAACUGCGAGUGUAGAGGUGAAAUUCGUAGAUAUUGGGAAGAACACCGAUGGCGAAGGCAGCCAUCUGGACCGACACUGACGCUGAGGCGCGAAAGCGUGGGGAGCAAACAGG
rnacentral:rRNA from 1 species